CGGACGGGUGAGUAAUGUCUGGGAAGCUGCCUGAUGGAGGGGGAUAACUACUGGAAACGGUAGCUAAUACCGCAUAACGUCGCAAGACCAAAGAGGGGGACCUUCGGGCCUCUUGCCAUCGGAUGUGCCCAGAUGGGAUUAGCUAGUAGGUGGGGUAACGGCUCACCUAGGCGACGAUCCCUAGCUGGUCUGAGAGGAUGACCAGCCACACUGGAACUGAGACACGGUCCAGACUCCUACGGGAGGCAGCAUG
rnacentral:rRNA from 1 species